ensembl:lncRNA
CUCUCACCUCCCCCAUCCCUGUCUCUCUCUCCCCCCCGCUGGCCUCUCACCUCCCCCAUCCCUGUCUCUCUCUCCCCGCUGGCCUCUCACCUCCCCCAUCCCUGUCUCUCUCUCCCCCGCUGGCCUCUCACCUCCAUCAGCUCUGAACCUGUUACCGGUCUAACUAUGGGCUCCAUGGCCUCAUCCAUCUAACCUGAGCUGGGUUAUAGCUGCUGCUGUUUAGACAGACAGACACAUUCUUAGCGACGAGAAGCUCGGUCGGUCGGAGUAACAUGACAUAACGUGCCUUUUUACACUUGCUCUUUGAACAUUGAUUCAACUCUGUGUUUUUUUUUUAUAUAUAUAAUAUACUCAAAUGUGAUAAUUUACCCGGGUCGUGUUCAUCAGGGCACACCGUAACUAAACGUUUUAAAUCAUUUCGUAAACCCCCCCCAACAAAAAAAAAAAAAGUAAAUGAGCGUUUCUUAUUGGACAAGUUGGAGAAGUACCUCUCUGUUUUCAGCCGUUUUCUUCUGUUACGUGCCUGCUGAACACAAUCCCCGUUUUCUAAUGUAUUUAAGAAGUCAUCUGUAAAUCAUGUUGGAGAAUCUUGGAUGUGUGGAUACUAUAGUUUAAUAGGACAUACCAUCUCAUUGUUGAAUAGUCGUUUCUGAUUGGGUGUGAAGAGAAUUCUAGAGCGUGCAUUACUUCCCUAUAACGCAUGGUAUAUAUCAGCACGGUUGAAUUCAAUGGCUUUCGUUCACUCUUACAUGUUUGGUUUAAGGUGCUUUUGAAAUCAAAAGUCAAAUUGAGAACAGUAUUGGCAGUGUUGAAUUCAAUUCUUCAUCAUAGCAAACUAGGACUGAUAGUUUGGUUCGCUAAACUAGCAAGUCUGUCUGUUUUGGGUACCACAGCAACUACUGUAGCUAUCCGGUCAACUUGCUAGCUUCUUCAGUGGACGUUGAACACAAUUUCUACCUUCAAAUGUGUUCAAUUACAGCCAUGGUAUCAAAGGGAUAAUCAACUCGGGGGGUCUAUAUGCGUUCUCUGGAAAAUAACCUCCCACGGAAUUGCAUUAAUUAAGUCCACUCUGCUAGCACGUCGUGGGAACGCACUUUUUCACGUCGUUAAUUAUUUUCCAUAGAACACACAGCCCUCAUUGAUUAUCUCUUACAUAUAUGAUGUGUGUGUGUGUGUAGUGAAGAGAUGCGGCUUCAUGUUACAUCGUUGUCAUUUUUUUUUUUAAUAGGUAUAUUUAUUUCUGUCUGUCAUAAAACACCACCUGCUCUGCUGUUCAAAAUGGGUUAUAUAAUUUUUACUGGAAUACAACAUUAACAACAAGUCUUCCACGACAUCUAAUAAAAAUGGACAACAUUAAAAACAUUUUGCAUCAUUUCAUCAGAUCUUCAACAACCCAGUCCUAUAUCUCGGGGGGUUGGGGCUAUUGGAGAGGGAGGGGCUAUUGGAGAGGGAGGGGCUAUUGGAGAGGGAGGGGCUAUUGGAGAGGGAGGGGCUAUUGGAG